rnacentral:rRNA from 1 species
GAUCAUGGCUCAGAUUGAACGCUGGCGGCAGGCCUAAUACAUGCAAGUCGAACGGUAACAUAGGAAAAGCUUGCUUUCCUGAUGACGAGUGGCGGACGGGUGAGUAAAGUUUGGGAAGCUACCUGAUAGAGGGGGACAACAGUUGGAAACGACUGCUAAUACCGCAUACAGCCUGAGGGUGAAAGCAGCGAUGCGCUAUCAGAUGCGCCCAAAUGGGAUUAGCUAGUAGGUGAGGUAAAGGCUCACCUAGGCGACGAUCUCCAGCUGGUCUGAGAGGAUGAUCAGCCACAUUGGGACUGAGACACGGCCCAGACUCCUACGGGAGGCAGCAGUAGGGAAUAUUGCACAAUGGAGGAAACUCUGAUGCCAGCCAUGCCGCGUGUGUGAAGAAGGCCUUCGGGUUGUAAAGCACUUUCGGAGGGGAGGAGAAUGACGUUACCCUCAGAAGAAGCACCGGCUAACUCCGUGCCAGCCGCAGC